rnacentral:lncRNA from 1 species
CAAGGUCCCUACCACACAGCAUGAACAGAGAGAACCCAGAAUGGCAGCUUUGCAACCUGAAGCCCCAGCUUGAACCUGGGCAACAAAAUGGCUGGCUGCCAAGAGGUUAAUUAUCCUAACUUCCUGCAGAGGGAAUCUUCAAUGAACACAGGCUGUAUGACAGAGAUCAGAGAAACACUACUGAGGUGGUGGGCAAGUAAAGGGUUAUAUCAACUCCCAAUGCUCAGCUACAGUUGAACUGCACAAUGGUGGAGCACCAGCUCGGUCUACACAGGACGCCGGGCUGGAUCCUUGGAUGUCAGACAAUGGAUUAUCAAGAAAUCUUAGACUAGCUCUCGGUUUCUCAUACAGAGAUCAAAACAUGUGAGUAAAGGUUAAAGGUGAUCUGAAGUCGGGGUGUGUGGUUCACUAGACAGGAGGGGUAAGAGGAAACCCAUACAAAUCGCACAGACGCCAGUCUACUAACAUUAUGUGUAGCUUGGCUGAGAAGCCAGUAAACCCUUCCACAGAAAGCUGUGAAGAGGGGAGUAUGCAGAGCGAGCGGUCGGGAUAAGGACAGCUGAAGAUCUACAAAUUAAAGCUGGGAAUUGAAACCAGUUAGCUACAGUGACAGAAGGGCAAAGUGCAGGAUGUUAACAGAGUCAAGAAGAUCAAAGUGCGGC